UCGGCCACGUGCGCCCGGGUCUCCGAUCGGCCCACUAAGGGGCCGAGCGCCUCCAAGGUGGCAGUGGCAACCGUGGUGUCCCGAUUUCUGUCCCUCCGCGCUGAGCCGAGAAGUCCGGACAGCGGCGGCGGUGGCGGGAGAGAGCGACUCGGCCCCUCCCUAGAGGGGGCCGCGCGACCGAGGGCUACGGGCACCGCCUCUGCUGCAUCCGUGGCUGCGCGCUCCGCUCGGCUCAGACCCGCUCGGAUCCGGAGCCCGCGCGCGGCGCUGCCUUCCCUUCCCCCUCUGCCGCCGCCCCGCGGGCAGCUCCCCCCGGCGAGACGCACGUUCGAUCCUCCUUCGCCGGAUUUACGGAUUUCCGGGGGCAAAGAAUUUUGCCUCAGUCCCUACCAGCAUCUCUUGGCCUCUCCCCCCCCCUCCUCGCGACUCCCCCACCCCGUGGGCGCGCGCGCGCGCACACACACACACACACUCACACACACUCACACUCGCAGGCGCGCGUGCGCACGCCCGCGCGCCCCGAGCCGCGGAGUCUCCAGCAGAUCCCACUCUCUCGGGCGCCGCUACUCACACAGGCUUCCAGUCGCCACGGGGCGUCCUCUGUCUGCGGCAGCAGCGGCGGAGGCAGCACAGGGAACCGCAGCUGCAGCCGGGCCGCGUCUUGCAGCUUCGUGUCCGGGACGGAGUCCGGGAGAAGCGGACGAGGAGGACGACAAGGCGAGGAGGAGCCGCGCCGCGCCCAGCGCCCGGCUCCCGGCUCCCGGCUCCGCGCGGCGGGCUGCCCCCGCUCCCGGUAUCGCGGAUCCAGAUUUUUGAAAGCGGCUUAAAUCUAAUUGGCUCCCCCAGGAUCUCAGCUCCCGUUACAUUGGUGCAUUCCUGUUUUUGAGAGGCAUCUGGAGAGACUGAACGGCCACUGCUAGUUGGCAUACAGGGUAGGAGGAUGCGGCAACUUUUUUUUUUUUCCUGUGUCCUUGGAAACUUUCAAAUCUUGGUUCAGUUCUUCUUGAGCGUGAAUGUUUGGUUUUUGCGAUUGUUUUGCUGGGUUCUGUUUUCCUGUUGUUGAAUUUCAUAUGAGUGAGGUGGCAGCCACAACUGCUGCCACCCCAUGGUGGCCAGCCUAUGUCUUCUGUGAAGGAAACCUCAAGAGAAAAGAAAAACAAAACCCAUAAUAGUAGUAGGGUAUGGAUUUGUAUAAAUAAUACUUACCAAACAGUGCUAAUAAAUCAGCCUUAUGUGCGUCUGUUCUACUCA
rnacentral:lncRNA from 1 species